GACUCCGUAGCUCAGCUGGAUAGAGCGACUGCCUUCUAAGCCGUAGGUCGCAGGUUCGAAUCCUGCCGGGGUCACCA
rnacentral:tRNA from 1 species